GACGUAUGUUGAUUGGUAUGGUGUAUGAUUUUCUGUUUUGGGGAGUACGGUAUUCUUUUGAUCAAGUGUUGAGUGCAGCUGUGAUUACGCUGGGUAUUGUCUGGUCAGGCAUUAGUACC
rnacentral:ribozyme from 1 species